rnacentral:rRNA from 1 species
GAUGAACGCUGGCGGCGUGCCUAAUACAUGCAAGUCGAGCGAACGGACGAGAAGCUUGCUUCUCUGAUGUUAGCGGCGGACGGGUGAGUAACACGUGGAUAACCUACCUAUAAGACUGGGAUAACUUCGGGAAACCGGAGCUAAUACCGGAUAAUAUUUUGAACCGCAUGGUUCAAAAGUGAAAGACGGUCUUGCUGUCACUUAUAGAUGGAUCCGCGCUGCAUUAGCUAGUUGGUAAGGUAACGGCUUACCAAGGCAACGAUGCAUAGCCGACCUGAGAGGGUGAUCGGCCACACGGGAACUGAGACACGGUCCAGACUCCUACGGGAGGCAGCAGUAGGGAAUCUUCCGCAAUGGGCGAAAGCCUGACGGAGCAACGCCGCGUGAGUGAUGAAGGUCUUCGGAUCGUAAAACUCUGUUAUUAGGGAAGAACAUAUGUGUAAGUAACUGUGCACAUCUUGACGGUACCUAAUCAGAAAGCCCCGGCUAACUACGUG